GUGAACUGCCAGAACUAUCUACCAAAGAAUAUGUUGUCGAAAGGCCAUUCGUAGACUGUGAAGAAUUUGAAGAGUUUGACAGUAAACUGGGAGUGGAUGCAGCCUUGAAGGCACGGCUGCUUCAUCAGUUAUCUGGAAUUGGUGGGUCUACCAUUGGCGCGGCCACAAGACGGAUUCUACAGCUGUUGCUGACCCAUCAACUGGCUGUACAGUACAGCUGGGCAGGGCAAAAGGGCAAAAGAAAGUUUAUGGCCCUUAAUACGGCGGAGCUCAUAUUUAGUAACGGUGAAGCAAGGCUUUUCGAUGCCAAAAGGAGCGAGGUUGAGGGGACAAUAAAAGUGUGGCUUCGGCAUUCUGGUGAAAAGCUGCGAAAAAUGCAAUCAAAGGCUUCAAGCACUCGGCCUGACAGUAAGUGUUUUCAUAGUAGCCUACUGCACGUGUAAUUGUUGACAGAACCAGCCUAUGAGACUCUCAAAGUGUAGCGUCGUCUAGCUGGUAACAGUGUGUGAUGCCUCUUGCAUGUUUGAAUUGUUUCAUAAAAUUUGAAAUUUGCUGGAGAAGUUCGGGCAAAAACAUCAGCACAGCUGUUUGCGCAUUUGUGUUGUACUACAUCACUAUAUAUACUACCUCCCUA